rnacentral:rRNA from 1 species
AAAGCCCAAUGGCUUCAUGUGCUUUCUGUGCACGGUCUGCAUUUGGUGAUUCACAUUCCUUGGCAAUGGAAUGCAAACAGGUGGUAAAUUCCAUCCAAUAUAACAAUACAACAUUGAGGCUGAUAACAAACAAGUACCAUGAGGGAAAUAUGAAAAGGACUUUGGAAAGAGAAUUAAAAGAGUUUGCAUUUGCUUGGCAUAAAACAAAUUAAUGUUGUCAUGGCCAAAAGAUUGUUGCAUUUCUGGGUGUGUGCCAACAUUGCUCAGCAAGUGUAAUGCUUCUUUCCCCCCACAAAGCUGUUGCAUUCAUGGAUCAUUCUUGUUUGGUGCUGGCAAUAUGUGUUGCAUAGUGGUGCUCUGUUUGCAUUUCUGAUUUCUGAUGUUAUGCGCACGCCUUUUGAAGCUGGACAGACAUGGCUGGGUGGUUUGUGUAUCUUCUUGGAGGAGUGGCUUGUGUGCUGACAAAGAAGGUUGCUUGACCCGUCUUGAAACACGGACCAAGGAGUCUAACAGACGUGCAAAAGAAUGAUUUAAAAUGUGGCAAAACUGAAAGGAAGAGUUAGCAUGUGUGCUCCAACGGCCAAAUGCUUGGUAGACACGCAUUUGAAUUUGAGCAUGUUUGUUAGGACCCGAAAGAUGGUGAACUAUGCUUGAUCAGAAUGAAUUCAGAGGAAACUCUGACGGAAGUUCGUAUCGAUACUGACG